GAAAAUAUUAAAGAUAAGACCGAUUUAAACGAGUCCUGGAUGGAUAUAUAUAACAUAAAUCAGAAAAAGAGAAAAUUAAAACCACAUAUGGAUGGGGAUGAUAUUAGCUUGUUUAGUAUUAACUCAAAUUCAUCGAGAUUAUCAUUGAGAGAAGGUUUUAAAAGAAGAUGUUCACUGCCAAAAUUUCCAAAUAUUACUCAUUUGAUGCAACAACCUAAUAUUAACGAAUCUCUAAAAAAAAUAAGCCAAUCUAUACAA